CAUUGAGAACUCUUACUUCCUCUCCAUUGCUGACUAGUUUUAUGUAUUAAAUAAAACUAAUAUUGAUAUUUUUCUGAGCAAAACAGUCAGCUGUGCUCUUUUAUUAACUAAUUAAUGAGACCUGAAAAUUAGAAACUAAAAAGUUGGACAAUGAGUUCCUGCUGUGUAGCACUGGGAACUAUAUCUAGUCACUUAUGAUGGAGCAUGAUAAUGUGAGAAAAAAGAAUCUAUACAUGUAUGUGUAACUGGGUCACCAUACGGUACAGUAGAAAAUUGACAGAACACUGUAAAGCAGCUAUAAUGAAAAAAAUAUAUAAAAAUCAUUAUAUAAAAAAAUUCGAUCUGGUCAAAUUUUAAUGACUUCGUCUAACUAGUUGCCAACCUGCUCAGCCAUUCUGACUCUUCAACUAGCCAACUCAGGUCCUCCACCUGUACUGCUUCCAGUAUUUCCUUCUAGGUUUUGUCCUAGGAAAGCUUCUUAAGGAAGAAGGAAACUCCCUCCACUCAACUCCCCCCACCCCCAGAAAAAUGCUCCCACACCAUCCCCAAUCUGAUCUUGUUCCAGAUCAAGUAAAUGCGUGAAACCCCAUCCUGUGUGAAAUAAUUUCCCAAACCACAGCCUUGUCAUGGGGCUGCGUGCCAGUUCCAGGCAUCAUGCAACUUCACCUCUUCCUGAGAUGGAUAUCUUCCAUGCUCUGGGGGAAGAAAAAAAAAAAAAAAUCCAAGAAUCCAAGCCACCAGAAGUUCAUCUUGGAGUUGAAUAACUGUUACCUGCACUAGAGCUUUCUCUUUGACCUGAGGAUGCUAAGGUUUGUUUGAAUAGGAUUAUUAACUCUACAUCAGUAUAUGGAACUAGAAGGAACUAGCUUAUCAUGUUUUCUUCUUUUUCCUCUUGCAGCCUCAACCGAGGGUUCUCCAUAGACAUGGUUAGCCUUCCAAGCUGCUGUCCUGCCAGUCGAUAUGAACAUGGCCUGUUCCUCACAGAAAGACGAACUCUUGAUGCUGCCAGAAGAUAUCCUUAGAGCAUUGACAGAUUAACUGGAUUAACUGGAAAAAAAAAAAAAUUCGGUCAAGAUCAUGGGCUUUGGAAAGUCUUAGUUUGCUAUGGAUUUUUAAAUGAGGUGCAUAAUAUACAGUGCCAACUUGUUCCAAGUGGUCAUUGGCAGACCAUUAGCUGGAAAAUAGCUUCCAGUUUUCAUCACUGUGCAUAACUCAAGCUCCCUCGGGGAGCUGUCUGUGCCCUUCACUAGAAGUCCUGUUUUAGCAUGGCAACUACUGGAUUAUUUUAUUAUGUGUGCAGAUGGCAUGAUGUGUUAGAAAAAAAAAAUUACAGCAGUUCUGCAGUCUCAGUGGAAGUGUUCACAAUAUUAGGCCCUGGUAGGAAUGUAAACAUGUCUUGAUUGUGUUAGUUACGGCGUCUAAAGGUAUUUUGUCCAACUCUUAAGCACUUUACAUGACAACACUACACGGAAACGAAUCCACACGUUCGAUACAUGUGAGACAACCGAGUCUUUUCUUCUUUCUUUUUGUAAAUCUUGUCCUAUUUCUGGCUCAGACUGUCCAAGACAAGACUCCACUCCUGGCACAGCCCUGGCUGUUUGUGGUAGAUGGUGAAAUAUGGCCAUAAUACUGUUAGACUUAAUCUCUUGACCCUUGGCUGAACAGCUGGAUUUCUUAGAGCACCAAAGGGAAGGAGAGGUGAGCCUGGAGGUGGUACUGUCUUACCUCUUGUUUCCUCUUAACCUGGGCACAACUGGCCACGUGCACAUGCAAACACUCACACACAGGAGGCCUCUCUUUGGCCAAUGUACAUAUUCUUUCAUUCUGUAGACGCGUUCAUUCAAAAAAAGGAAGGGGGUGGCCAUCUUUUGAUCAUAGACUAUAUUGGGUAGAUGGUGAGGGCAGCUAAGUUGCAGUUUCCCUGGGCAGUCUGACUUUAACACUUUGGAAAACUUUCUAGGUCAAGGUUCGAUCACAGCUCUGAAGAGUAAAAGCAGCAAGUGACCCUCUGCAUGUCUGGAAAAGCAAGAGGUUCCAGUCCCACACUAGAUUUCUUCCUCAGUAGAGAAGCUACUAGUCCCUUUUAAUUCUUUCUGGGGUUCUACAUGCCACUAUUUUUUUUUUUAACUAUGUUUUACAACAAAGCACAGUCCUAGGAAACGGGUCAACUCAGUUAUUGCUUGUCUUUAGGUAUUAGAAAAUUGUCCCUGUAGACGCAUCCUACAUCAUGCUUUAGCAUUUUUUUUUUUUCCUGAAAAUGUAAAGUUGACUGAACCACAGCCUCAGCACAGUGUGUUCUGAAGGCCCACAGUCCCAGCCUGGGACCGGCAGGCAUCGGGGACAUUUCUUUAAAUGAAUGUAACAAACCUGGGACCUGCCAGCACAAGCAAGCUUGGCAUUUUAAAGGGUCGCCAGACACGCACUCAUUGUCUGUUCUCCCCACAUCUUGCCUCCCCUGGGGAUAUCAGGAAAUGCACAGCCCAUUGGAAAACGCCCCCGCCUGAGAUUUGGAAACGUGACAGGGAAGGAAUGAGAGCUCCAAAUGUGAUUGGGUGAGUCACCCAGCGAGAUGACUCACCACAAGCCUGAAGGCUGCAGUGCCAAACAAGGGGCUUCCCAGAGGGAACUCGGAGGAGCUCAGGUCACUGCCAAGAUCUGGCCCUUGGGUGGGUUGGCGUCAGGACCAUCAGGCCCCCAGCAGACCAUCAUUCUUUACAAAUCCAAAAUUAGGGGGCCAAACCCUGGCUGGCCACCUCAGUCUCACUGUCCAUCACAUGAGGUUCAAUUCCCAUGACAGAGCUCCUUCUAAUCUUUCAUUUCUUCCUUUCUUUAUCCAGCGAGCGUUUAUUGAGCACCUACCAUGUGCCAUGCACUGUGCAGGGGCAGCAACAGUAUACAAGGUAGACUCCCCUGCCUUUAUGUUAGCUCUUCCUCCCAAACACCAACUCCAGCCCACCUUUUCCACAAUGAAGACUGAAUUCAGACAGUGUUUUUCUCCUACCAGUGUAACCUGUGUGCAAAUGCACAGGCUCACACUUUGCAGGCAGUGCCCUUGCUGAGGAAGUGGGCAGGACAGAAAGAGGAGGCAGGCCAUAUAUUCACACCCUUCAUGUAUAGCCAACCCUUCCAGUGCCCAGAUUUAGGUGGUAAGAGCUCCCCCAAGCAAUGUUCAGUUGCUUCCUUUAAUAUCCACCCUGCUCACUUAUCCAUCCUUUUUACAGGUAGAGCCAUUCCUCAUGAUACUGGAUUCUGGGAAGCCCCAAUGCUAUGACUGGUCCUGGGGACACAGAAUUGGGCCUGAGGAAUUCAAAUGAACUACUGCCAGGUGCUGAGACAUUGUAGCUGGGAAUGAACUGGUUUAGCUGGGAGUGCUCUGAGAACUACUGUUAACACCCUUAGAAAAUUGGACAUGCUUUAUGGGGCAGAUGUUCAUGAUAUGAUGAUGGUGGUUCAUCCUUACUUUGGCAUUUGCAAAAUAUGUUCUGAACAUGAGUAGAGUUUUAUAGCUUUUUUCGAGUCACAAAUGUGCUGGACAAUGAUUAAAAGAUGAUGGCUGAAGAUGGAGAUGGGAGAAGGCAAAGAUGGAAACAAUGAAAGAGCCCCAUUGACGAUGGUGUCUCUAAAAAUGCCUUAAUUCCUGGCACAUACCACAUAUUUGCAUGUGAGCUACUACUGUUUUCCAAACUGUCAACCUCGGUUUGAAAUCAUUUGGGGGCAUAGUUUUGGAAACGUGGUGGCCUAUAAUCUGAGCAGUUACAAGCUAAACCAGCAAAAUAGAGAAAUGAUUUCCUUCACAGCCUUGGGAUUCUUUGUUAUGCAUUGAUCCACAGUUACCCAUGGUUACUUCCUGCUGUGCUGUACCUUCUUCCCAAGAUAUAUGUAGGACGUUUUACCUCCUAGAAGUGCAGAGAUGGCUGUGGUGAGUUUUGUUUAAUGGGAAGCAGGAGACAGGAAGGUAGGGGAUAAAUAUUUUGACGACUAAGGGCUGUAAACUGUGGAUGCUGAACUUUUCCUUAAACCCAGGCUGCACCUUUUAUUUAAAGGCUGCCCCCCCCCCACACACACACACAUGCUUGUUCAGGAAAGGCACUCUUGGGAGUGAGCCAAAAUGAAUAAUUAUCAGACUCUUGAGGGGUACCCAGGGGAUAAAUUGUUCCAGCUCCAGAGCUGAAUUUAAAUAUGCAAAGCAUCAGUGGUCCUGCCUCAGUAAAAAGCAAAUCCCUUCAGUAGAUUAAGCCUACCUAGGGGGGCAAGAGACCCUAUCAGCUUUCUUGUGGGCGUGGCUCAUCUUCAAGUCUCUGCGCAGCCUCUGUGAGGUGUGUAACCGCCCCGUGGACUUCUACCUCCAGAAUACAGGGAAAUAACCCCGGGUUCCCUCCGGAGUCCCUUCUCAGUUGCUCGGACAGUGGCUAAUAGUCCUUAGAUCUGAGGGACUCCUUCCUGGUUUUUAACCUUCAAGGGGAAAAGGGACAUCAACCUUACGUGAGAAUAUAAUGGAAGCAUUAAAACUUCUAAUGGGCGUACCCCCUUGUUCCUUGCAAAUGUUUUCUUUGUCUGCAAAUGUCACAUAAUCGAUUUUGGCGCGGAACAAUGGAAGUCUCACAAAGGAAAAGUUUUCAAGACCCCCUUAGCACUUUCAUUUUGCCAAAACCUCCUCUUUCAGUGCUUCAGCGGCUUCAUUCUUUGUACUGUUUUCCUCUCCAUUCAAGUAAUUUUGUUACUUGACAACUAGACUUAAAGCUGCCAUGGUCUCUUUUUAAAAGUCUAAUCUUUGAAAAUGACAUCAAUUCCUUUAUGCCUUAAAGGCAGUUUUAUUCACCUCUUCCACAACCCUCUCCACUUCACUUUCUUGCUUUGUUUUGUGAGGUGUGGUUUUUUUUUCCUCUUAAUCUCUUUCUUUUCAUAAUAUAGUUCCUUGGGCAGAUUUCAAGUAUUCCGCAAAGAACCCAAACAGAAAAACAUAGUCGUCCCCUUUCUUACCAGUUCUGACUAAUAAGUCCUUGUUGAGCUUGAUCUGGGUGAAAGCUUGGUGCCCAGACCACACUGGGCAGGAAUUCUCAUCGUCUGGAGAGUGGCCGGUCACUGCAGUAAUCAAAACAAGACCCGCGACUCACGAGGAAGGACAGACGGCCUGGGAGAUGCAGCUGCUUGGGCACAGCUGGGGACUGUGUUUCAAAGACUAGCGGGUCCUGUCCCUUUGUUUCUUUAGAUGUGCAUCUAAUCCUGUAGCCAGAGAACUGUCUUAUGAAUUCUGCUUUAUCAAUGUGAGUGAUCCCUGGCUCCGCUGCACAGCUUCAAGGUCAGAGAGGGCUGCAUUUCCAUUACUUUGCUCUGGUGACUUCUGCCUCUAGUAAAGAGGCAAGAAGGCUUCAUUUUUUAAAAAUGUUUUUAAAUAAAUUUUAUGGGGGUCUCAUUGACUUAACAAAGUUGCAUUAGUUUCAGGUGUACAGCAAAGUGAAUCAGUUAUACGUAAUACCUAUAUACCUUCCAAGGAGGCUUCUUUUGAAAGCUAACCACCUGUGGAAAGCUUGAAAAACUGGCCAGUUGCACAGGGAGGUUUGGCCACCCUUUAAUAAAAGGAACCAAAUCAAGCUUUCUCUAGGGAUUCUCAUUUGGGAAGUUGGCUAGGAGGAUGGUAUCAGUACAGGCUUUCUUCUGGCCAUUAUCUUGGCCCUGCAGGGAAAAUUCUGGGCAAGGAGGACAAGCACAGAGAUCUAACAUAUUUAGAGUGCAAUUUGCCCAUGACAAAUCUAGAGGAGAAGUGCCAUGGAGGAAAGGGCUGGUUUCAGACCUCCUUCCCAGCAACACAGACUGAGACAUAAUGUCCACAGAACAACAGAAAAGGGGUAGCAGAGGCUUUGUAAAUCUGGACUUUCCCAUGCCACGUUGGGCUAUUUUAAAGCCUUUCAGAGCCCCAAGCAUCCUUACUUCAGAGGCUCCCAAUUAUAUCAAGCGCUCGAAGGCACCAACAACAUACACCUAAUAAAAUUUCAAAGUAGCCAUGUGACUUGCAUUGCUUUGCAGGUGACUGGUUGACAUUAAGUGUUACAGCUAUUUAGACAUUAAUUCUGAUUAUGCAAUUCCUUUUUACAUUUUGAAGCCAGUGGUUUGGGGUUUCCAUCGUUUCAUUGUUUGUUUUGUUGUUGUUGUUUUCCAAACCUCAAACAUUUACAGAAGCCUUAGAAAGGCUCUUCGACCCAGAUCUUUUUGCCUGAAGCACAGAAAUAGAAACAGCCCUCUGAUGCAAACAAGGCAACGGUUAUAUUAAUCCAACUUUAGAGAUGCUAGCACCUAAACUCUUUAAGACCCUGAUGACUCUGCUGGUUGCCUUCUGCAUUGUUUAUAGCCUUUUAAGUUUCAGUCAUUUGGAUCAAGGGAAAUAAACAGGCUGCCUUCCCAUGGCCUUGCCACACCAGCACGCACACAACCACUACACAUGGAAUCCUAAGCCAGAUUCAUGUGCCACAGCACACAGAUCUGUUUCCGGUGAUCGUAUCUAAUUACCAUCCCCGACCCAACCCCCCAUUUUCUAUAAAAAUGGAUUCAUAUGCUUUACUCUAAAAAAAGUUCUAAAAUGAGAUUCGUACUCAUUAGAUCAUGACUUCUCUUGGGGUGGGGGAAUUGACUUUGCGACAUAACCUU
rnacentral:lncRNA from 1 species